rnacentral:lncRNA from 1 species
GCGGCUAUGGUGGUGGCGGUAGCGACGACUAUGGUGGCGGUGGAGUCUAUGGUGGUGGACGGGGUGGCGGCUAUGGUGGUGGUGGUGACGGUGGUUACGGUGGUGGUGGUGAUGGUGGCUAUGGUGGUGGCGGCAGCGGUGGCGGCGGCAGCUAUGGUGGUGGUGGUGGCGGCAGCGGCUAUGGUGGUGGUGGCAGCAGCUAUGGUAGUGGUGGGGGUGAUGGCUAUGGUGAUGGUGGCAGCAGCGGCUAUGGUAGUGGACGUGGCAGGGGCUAUGGUGGUGGUGGUGGACGGAAAGAAUCAUCGGAAGCCGAGGAAAGCUAUGGCGGAUGGAACGAAUCUUCUCACCGAGGAUGAACUUGUGAUUAAGAGUGUAAUAAUGUAUUAUUGAUGACUUAAUUAGCUGCAUGGUAUUAACUUGGGUAAAAAGAAUAAAGAGCUUUGCUAGUCAUGUUGAAGGGUUCCUUUUUGGUUCUACUUUCUGUGGCUCAACUUGUUUUUUUAUUAGACUGAAAUAACCAGUCAACUUUACUAAUGGUGAUUGCUUUCAUCUUUGCUUUCACCCUCCCUCCUCAUUAUACCUAAUUUCCAUGAUUAGGAGCAUCUAAUCACACCAGUUUCGGUUUGUUGCUACCCAAAUUCGAUUCAAUGUAAACACCUGGCAUGUGCUUUUUGAGUGUUUAUUCCUUACUCAACACAAUUCUUAACAAAC